CAGAAAUGUGGGCGUGGAAUCUGGGAGAGAAAACUCUAAUGGAAUAUUUUUCUUAUGACACAUUCCUGUUAAGCCUCCAUUCCUCGGGUUUGGCUAAGGCCACCGUGGACAGAUUGGUGGGGGAAGUGCUGUUCUGAGAUCCUGGGUGUAGUCUUACAGUCCUAACAGCAAGGCAGCUUUCUUUCCCUGUCUCUGCGUGGGGAACAGAAUUUGUGCAGGCUCAAGUGUGCCUGGCAAGAAGGCCAAAUUGAAAAUACCUUCCACAGCUCUGGGGCCUAACAUCGAAAUUCCAUCUUCAACCGCAUGUUUUUCAGCAGGAAAGCGAGGGGGCACAAGAUCCACACUCCAUCUCUCUCCUGGUGUGAAACCUCAGGGUGGGCGCCCCAGUUCUGGAGCUCCAGACUAAAGCCAGCAAAGCACGACCGGGCCCUUUGCGGGGGCUGCCUCCAUGCCACGUCCCCAAGGAUGAAGUGACUGGCCAACACUUGCAGCUGGAGUGUCUGGGGCUGCCCAGGGAAUGAGGAGUAUCUGCACAGAGCUCAAGAAAUGGGGAACUAUUCACCCAAGAUGAGUAAGCAGAGGGCUCCUAGGAGGAAAGAAAGUUUUUAAUCCAAACAUUUCCUGCUCUUAUUCCUGCCACUGCAAAACCAAGGCUGAGUGUGUGCCAGAGACUGUGCUUUCUGAAGCGCUCACUGCUGAGAAGGGCAAAAUGAGGUUGUUGACAUCGGUUCUGCAGAGGGAGGAGGCUGAUGUAGGGAGGAUGGAAGAACCAUAUCAAAACCAGAAGGAAAAACUGCCACGAAAUUUUAAAAUGAUCACGUGUGAUGUGAUUAUGUUUAUGCAUUUGUGUAAAUCACGUGUGUGUAUCUAUCAAUAAAUUUGGAAGUUUUAAAAGGUCAUAUGAUCUCAGCACACUGGGAGGCCGAGGCAGGUGGAUUGCCUGAGGUCAGGAGUUCGAGAUCAGCCUGGCCAAC